CCCACUAACAACUGUGUGAUGCAAGAUGAUUGUCAAAAUUAAUGGUUUACAGUGAGUUAUCGCCCUCCAAAAGCAAGAAUGACACCCCACGCACAUGUAUGGGGCUACUCCGUUGUGCACGUGCAUCCCAUCCGUUGUGUUUUGAAAAAAGAGAAACGGUGGA